rfam:Pelodiscus sinensis unplaced genomic scaffold scaffold926, whole genome shotgun sequence.
GGAAGGUUGGCCUAGAGGUUAAGGCCCUGGGGUGGCUCUCCAGAAAUCUGGGUUCAAUUCCAGCUCUGCCA